rnacentral:rRNA from 1 species
UACGGAGGAUCCGAGCGUUAUCCGGAUUUAUUGGGUUUAAAGGGUGCGCAGGCGGGGGAUUAAGUCGGCGGUGAAAUUUUGCAGCUCAACUGUAAAAGUGCCUUCGAAACUGGUUUCCUUGAGUGUAGAUGAAGUAGGCGGAAUUUGUGGUGUAGCGGUGAAAUGCUUAGAUAUCACGAGGAACUCCGAUUGCGCAGGCAGCUUACUAAACUACUACUGACGCUCAGGCACGAAGGCGUGGGGAUCAAACAGGAUUAGAUACCCGUGUAGUCCCU